rnacentral:rRNA from 1 species
AUUGAACGCUGGCGGCAGGCCUAACACAUGCAAGUCGAACGGUAACAGGAAGAAGCUUGCUUCUUUGCUGACGAGUGGCGGACGGGUGAGUCAUGUCUGGGAAACUGCCUGAUGGAGGGGGAUAACUACUGGAAACGGUAGCUAAUACCGCAUAACGUCGCAAGACCAAAGAGGGGGACCUUCGGGCCUCUUGCCAUCGGAUGUGCCCAGAUGGGAUUAGCUAGUAGGUGGGGUGACGGCUCACCUAGGCGACGAUCCCUAGCUGGUCUGAGAGGAUGACCAGCCACACUGGAACUGAGACACGGUCCAGACUCCUACGGGAGGCAGCAGUGGGGAAUAUUGCACAAUGGGCGCAAGCCUGAUGCAGCCAUGCCGCGUGUAUGAAGAAGGCCUUCGGGUUGUAAAGUACUUUCAGCGGGGAGGAAGGGAGUAAAGUUAAUACCUUUACUCAUUGACGUUACCCGCAGAAGAAGCACCGGCUAACUCCGUG